rnacentral:rRNA from 1 species
UACGGGGGGGGCAAGCGUUGUUCGGAAUUACUGGGCGUAAAGGGCUCGUAGGUGGCCAACUCAGUCAGACGUGAAAUCCCUCGGCUUAACCGGGGAACUGCGUCUGAUACUGGAUGGCUUGAGUGCGGGAGAGGAUGGUGGAAUUCCCAGUGUAGAGGUGAAAUUCGUAGAUAUUGGGAAGAACACCGGUGGCGAAGGCGGCCAUCUGGACCGCAACUGACGCUGAGGCGCGAAAGCGUGGGGAGCAAACAGG